UUUAGAACGUCGUGAGACAGUUCGGUCCCUAUCUGCCGUGGGCGCUGGAGAAUUGAGGGGGGCUGCUCCUAGUACGAGAGGACCGGAGUGGACGCAUCACUGGUGUUCGGGUUGUCAUGCCAAUGGCACUGCCCGGUAGCUAAAUGCGGAAGAGAUAAGUGCUGAAAGCAUCUAAGCACGAAACUUGCCCCGAGAUGAGUUCUCCCUGAGACUUUAAGUCUCCUGAAGGAACGUUGAAGACGACGACGUUGAUAGGCCGGGUGUGUAAGCGCAGCGAUGCGUUGAGCUAACCGGUACUAAUGAACCGUGAGGCUUAACCUU
rnacentral:rRNA from 1 species